UACGUAGGUGGCAAGCGUUGUCCGGAAUUAUUGGGCGUAAAGCGCGCGCAGGCGGUCCUUUAAGUCUGAUGUGAAAGCCCACGGCUCAACCGUGGAGGGUCAUUGGAAACUGGGGGACUUGAGUGCAGAAGAGGAGAGUGGAAUUCCACGUGUAGCGGUGAAAUGCGUAGAGAUGUGGAGGAACACCAGUGGCGAAGGCGACUCUCUGGUCUGUAACUGACGCUGAGGCGCGAAAGCGUGGGGAGC
rnacentral:rRNA from 1 species